rnacentral:rRNA from 1 species
CUAACACAUGCAAGCCGAGCGGUAGAAGAUCUUCGGAUCUUUGAGAGCGGCGUACGGGUGCGGAACACGUGUGCAACCUGCCUUUAUCAGGGGGAUAGCCUUUCGAAAGGAAGAUUAAUACCCCAUAAUAUAAUGAGUGGCAUCACUUAUUAUUGAAAACUCCGGUGGAUAGAGAUGGGCACGCGCAAGAUUAGAUAGUUGGUAGGGUAACGGCCUACCAAGUCAGUGAUCUUUAGGGGGCCUGAGAGGGUGAUCCCCCACACUGGUACUGAGACACGGACCAGACUCCUACGGGAGGCAGCAGUGAGGAAUAUUGGACAAUGGGUGAGAGCCUGAUCCAGCCAUCCCGCGUGAAGGACGACGGCCCUAUGGGUUGUAAACUUCUUUUGUAUAGGGAUAAACCUUUCCACGUGUGGAAAGCUGAAGGUACUAUACGAAUAAGCACCGGCUAACUCCGUGCCAGCAGCCGCGGUAAUACGGAGGGUGCAAGCGUUAUCCGGAUUUAUUGGGUUUAAAGGGUCCGUAGGCGGAUCUGUAAGUCAGUGGUGAAAUCUCAUAGCUUAACUAUGAAACUGCCAUUGAUACUGCAGGUCUUGAGUAAAGUAGAAGUGGCUGGAAUAAGUAGUGUAGCGGUGAAAUGCAUAGAUAUUACUUAGAACACCAAUUG